rnacentral:misc_RNA from 1 species
AACCUUAUGGACCUGCGGGCGUAUACCUGCGGAAGGAUCAUUACACAAUACAAUAUGAAGGCUGUCCGCAGCUGGAGUAUUUUAUUACCCUUGUCUUUUGCGCACUUGUUGUUUCCUGGGCGGGUUCGCUCGCCACCAGGACCACCUAAUAAACCUUUUUUAUGCAGUUGCAAUCAGCGUCAGUACAAACAAUGUAAAUCAUUUACAACUUUCAACAACGGAUCUCAGAUCGGAAGAGCA